GUUGUUGUUGUUGAUGACAUUCGUCCCAAGGUGACGUGGUGUCAUGUUGCUUGUGUAUUCUAGUUUUAAGCUUUUCGAGCUUGAAACGUGUGGAUAAUCGGUGGUGACAUACAUCACUCCUUUGGUUGAUGAAGGUCGUCCAACGAUGUGGUGGUUUGUUUAUUUUGUUCUCGCAUCGUUCGGUGCAUUCUGUGGUCAUUUUGGCUAUUAGUGGCUUGCUUGGCAAUUGGGCUUUGUGGGUUGCUACUAGUUUGGGUGUCUUCGGGGAUGUCWACCGUAAAGGUGCAUGAGUGGUGUUUGGUUUGUUACGGGUGGUUGGCUCUUUGCUUGCGCAACAACUUCCACCUGGCAUACCUCUUCAGUCUUGUGUCAAUGUUUGUUUUGCAUUGAAUGCACGACGGGUUUCUUGUGUUGCAUGCCUAAUUAAUGGUAUCGUUUGAUGAAUUGGUUUCCCUUUUCGUCUUGCGUCGCCUAUGCGAUGUGAGAUGAACCUUGAAGCAGCCUUUGUGAUCCACACUUUUGAUGCAUACGCAUUGAUUUUGUGGCCCAUUAAGUGUUGCUCGGUCUCAUGGAUAUGGAACCUGGUGUGGGCAUGGAAUCGUAAUGGUUCCUUGUUUGCCCAAGUUUAGCUUUUUUAAAACGAUUUGUCUAUCA
rnacentral:misc_RNA from 1 species